CUGCAUCUGCCAGGCUUCCUGAACUAGAGGUCGCUGCCCCGGCUGAGUACCAGAGAGCAGCAACAUCCGGGCAAAGUCCUAUGCAGAGUGAAGGCCUAAAGCCCAGAACUUGGGCAGCAACUCACCAUCUUCCUCCUCUCCACCUCCAAAAAUGAGAGGCAGAAGGGAACCACCUGGGGCCCAGCCUGUCUUCUGCCAGCCUCGUUACAGUGUUCAUCACCAUUAUUUACUGUGAUGUGCUCUGGGCUGGCCUCAAGGCUGGCACCAGACAAGACAUAAAGAAGAUAAAGCCCACCCCUGGGGCUACUACCAUCAGGGGUGGAGUAGGGGUGACACACAGGGUGACUAGUAGGCCUGGACACAGAGGUGGCUGUGCAUAAAUGGAGCAUCGAUGUUUCAGAUAUUGUUUACGCUCUGCUACUGUUUCUCAGAAGCCACCCAGCCCUCGUCCAGACAAGGAGACAGACAC
rnacentral:lncRNA from 1 species